rnacentral:rRNA from 1 species
UGCGUAGGGGGCAAGCGUUGUCCGGAAUCAUUGGGCGUAAAGCGCGCGUAGGCGGCCCUGUAAGUCCGUUGUGAAAGUCAAAGGCUCAACCUUUGAAAGCCGAUGGAUACUGCAGGGCUAGAGUCCGGAAGAGGCGAGUGGAAUUCCUGGUGUAGCGGUGGAAUGCGCAGAUAUCAGGAGGAACACCAAUAGCGAAGGCAGCUCGCUGGGACGGUACUGACGCUAAGGCGCGAAAGCGUGGGGAGCGAACAGG